AGCGAAAGCGUUAAGUGUUCCACCUGGGGAGUACGCCGGCAACGGUGAAACUCAAAGGAAUUGACGGGGGCCCGCACAAGCGGAGGAACAUGUGGUUUAAUUCGAUGAUACGCGAGGAACCUUACCCGGGCUCAAACGGCAGAGGGAAGUUUUUGAAAGGAGGCUGCUCUUAGGAGCCUCUGCCGAGGUGCUGCAUGGUUGUCGUCAGCUCGUGCCGUGAGGUGUCGGCUUAAGUGCCAUAACGAGCGCAACCCCUACCGCCAGUUGCCAUCAGGUAAAGCUGGGGACUCUGGCGGGACUGCCGGCGCAAGCUGUGAGGAAGGCGGGGAUGACGUCAAAUCAGCACGGCCCUUACGUCCGGGGCGACACACGUGUUACAAUGGCAGGUACAGCGGGAAGCCACCGAGCGAUCGGGAGCAGAACCCGAAAACCUGUCUCAGUUCGGAUUGGAGUCUGCAACUCGACUCCAUGAAGCUGGAUUCGCUAGUAAUCGCGCAUCAGCCAUGGCGCGGUGAAUACGUUCCCGGGCCUUGCACACACCGCCCGUC
rnacentral:rRNA from 1 species